AAAUGAAUUGACGGGGACCCGCACAAGCAGCGGAGCAUGUGGUUUAAUUCGACGCAACGCGAAGAACCUUACCAAGGCUUGACAUCCUCUGACAGGUGUGGAAACACACUUUCCCUUCGGGGCAGAGAGACAGGUGGUGCAUGGUUGUCGUCAGCUCGUGUCGUGAGAUGUUCGGUUAAGUCCGGCAACGAGCGCAACCCUUAUGAACAGUUGCCAAUAUUAAGUUAGGAACUCUGUUCAGACUGCCGUGGAUUAACACGGAGGAAGGUGGGGAUGACGUCAAAUCAUCAUGCCCCUUACGCCUUGGGCUACACACGUGCUACAAUGGGCAUUACAAAGAGCAGCAAACUGGUAACAGUAAGCGAAUCUCAAAAAGGUGCCCUCAGUUCAGAUUGUGGGCUGCAACCCGCCCACAUGAAGAAGGAGUUGCUAGUAAUUCCGAAUCAGAACGUCGGGGUGAAUGCGUUCCCGGGUCUUGUACACACCGCCCGU
rnacentral:rRNA from 1 species